AGGACGAACGCUGGCGGCGUGCUUAACACAUGCAAGUCGAGCGGAAAGGCCCUUCGGGGUACUCGAGCGGCGAACGGGUGAGUAACACGUGAGUAAUCUGCCCCUAGCUCUGGGAUAGCUCCGGGAAACCGGGAUUAAUACCAGAUACGACCACUUUAGACAUCUGUUGUGGUGGAAAGAAUUUUGGCUAGGGAUGAGCUCGCGGCCUAUCAGCUUGUUGGUGGGGUAACAGCCUACCAAGGCGACGACGGGUA
rnacentral:rRNA from 1 species